GAUGGACGCUGGCGGCGUGCCUAAUACAUGCAAGUCGAGCGAACAGACGAGGAGCUUGCUCCUCUGACGUUAGCGGCGGACGGGUGAGUAACACGUGGAUAACCUACCUAUAAGACUGGGAUAACUUCGGGAAACCGGAGCUAAUACCGGAUAAUAUAUUGAACCGCAUGGUUCAAUAGUGAAAGACGGUUUUGCUGUCACUUAUAGAUGGAUCCGCGCCGCAUUAGCUAGUUGGUAAGGUAACAGCUUACCAAGGCAACGAUGCGUAGCCGACCUGAGAGGGUGAUCGGCCACACUGGAACUGAGACACGGUCCAGACUCCUACGGGAGGCAGCAGUAGGGAAUCUUCCGCAAUGGGCGAAAGCCUGACGGAGCAACGCCGCGUGAGUGAUGAAGGCCUUCGGAUCGUAAAACUCUGUUAUUAGGGAAGAACAAAUGUGUAAGUAACUAUGCACGUCUUGACGGUACCUAAUCAGAAAGCCACGGCUAACUACGUG
rnacentral:rRNA from 1 species